rnacentral:lncRNA from 1 species
CGGCUAAGUCUCCUCCCGGGCGGGGCCCUAGUGAAAGAGAAGAAAAUAGAGUUCUGGCUGUUGACAUCCCGUGACGCCACUUGAUUCCUGAGUGGGUGGCCCAUGCCUAGUUCGUAAAAGAACUUUUACAACAGUGCCUGGCUAGGUCCCUCCCCGGAGGGCGGGGAGAAGGGUGUCGUGCGGAGUUGGAACGAGAAAGGCUAUACUGGUAACUGUCUGGGGCUAAGGUGCUGCAACUUGGUUGACAUUUUCUGUCACCACUGUAUCCGGUGGCCUCAGUCUGUCGGAAGCAGAGUCUCUUCAAGCAUGUGUUAAUGCGUCUGGAUCCAGCAUCACAGAACAGUUCCUGGGCCAAAUGUGUCCUAGAAGAUUA